rnacentral:rRNA from 1 species
GAUGAACGCUGGCGGCGUGCCUAAUACAUGCCAGUCGAGCGAACAGACGAGGAGCUUGCUCCUCUGACGUUAGCGGCGGACGGGUGAGUAACACGUGGAUAACCUACCUAUAAGACUGGGAUAACUUCGGGAAACCGGAGCUAAUACCGGAUAAUAUAUUGAACCGCAUGGUUCAAUAGUGAAAGACGGUUUUGCUGUCACUUAUAGAUGGUUCCGCGCCGCAUUAGCUAGUUGGUAAGGUAACGGCUUACCAAGGCAACGAUGCGUAGCCGACCUGAGAGGGUGAUCGGCCACACUGGAACUGGGACACGGUCCAGACUCCUACGGGAGGCAGCAGUAGGAAAUCUUCCGCAAUGGGCGAAAGCUUGACGGAGCAACGCCGCGUGAGUGAUGAAGGUCUUCGGAUCGUAAAACUCUGUUAUUAGGGAAGAACAAAUGUGUAAGUAACUAUGCACGUCUUGACGGUACCUAAGCAGAAAGCCACGGCUAACUACGU